rnacentral:rRNA from 1 species
CCUACGGGUGGCAGCAGUGAGGAAUAUUGGUCAAUGGGCGCGAGCCUGAACCAGCCAAGUAGCGUGAAGGAUGACUGCCCUACGGGUUGUAAACUUCUUUUAUAAAGGAAUUAAGUGCGGCACGUGUGCCUUUUUGUAUGUACUUUAUGAUUAAGGAUCGGCUAACUCCGGGCCAGCAGCCGCGGUAAUACGGAGGGUCCGAGCGUUAUCCGGAUUUAUUGGGUUUAAAGGGAGCGUAGAUGGGUUAUUAAGUCAGUCGUGAAAGUUUGCGGCUCAACCGUAAAAUUGCAAUUGAUACUGGGAGUCUUGAGUACGGUUGAGGUAGGCGGAAUUCGUGGUGUAGCGGUAAAAU